rnacentral:tRNA from 1 species
GCAAUGGCGGUUCAGUGGUAGAAUUCUUGCCUUCUGUGCACAAGAACCAGGUUCAAUCCCCGGCCACUGCA